AUUGAACGCUGGCGGCAUGCCUUACACAUGCAAGUCGAACGGUAACGCGGGGCAACCUGGCGACGAGUGGCGAACGGGUGAGUAAUGCAUCGGAACGUGCCCAGUAGUGGGGGAUAGCCCGGCGAAAGCCGGAUUAAUACCGCAUACGACCUACGGGUGAAAGGGGGGGAUCGCAAGACCUCUCGCUAUUGGAGCGGCCGAUGUCAGAUUAGGUAGUUGGUGGGGCAAAGGCCUACCAAGCCGACGAUCUGUAGCUGGUCUGAGAGGACGACCAGCCACACUGGGACUGAGACACGGCCCAGACUCCUACGGGAGUCAGCAUUGGGGAAUUUUGGACAAUGGGCGCAAGCCUGAUCCAGCCAUGCCGCGUGCGGGAAGAAGGCCUUCGGGUUGUAAACCGCUUUUGUCAGGGAAGAAAUCUUCUGGGUUAAUACCUCGGGAGGAUGACGGUACCUGAAGAAUAAGCACCGGCUAACUACGUGCCAGCAGCCGCGGUAACAC
rnacentral:rRNA from 1 species